UUAAAAAGCUCGUAGUUGAAUUUCGGGAUCAGAUUGUCGGUCGUGCCUCGGUACGCACUGGCAUUAUUGGUUCCUACCUUCUGAAGAACCGCGAUGUCAUUAAUUUGGUGUCGUGGGGAAUCAGGACUGUUACUUUGAAAAAAUUAGAGUGUUUAAAGCAGGCGCACGCUUGAAUACAUUAGCAUGGAAUAAUGAAAUAGGACGUUUGAUUCUAUUUUGUUGGUUUCUAGGAUCGACGUAAUGAUUAAUAGGGAUAGUUGGGGG
rnacentral:rRNA from 1 species